rnacentral:rRNA from 1 species
UGGGGAAUCUUGGACAAUGGGCGCAAGCCUGAUCCAGCGACGCCGCGUGGGUGACGAAGGCCUUCGGGUUGUAAAGCCCUUUUCCCGGGGACGAUGAUGACGGUACCCGGGGAAUAAGCACCGGCUAACUCCGUGCCAGCAGCCGCGGUAAGACGGAGGGUGCUAGCGUUGUUCGGAAUGACUGGGCGUAAAGGGCGCGUAGGCGGCCGGUUGCGUCGGAUGUGAAAGCCCGGGGCUCAACCCCGGAACGGCAUCCGAUACGGGCUGGCUCGAGACCGAGAGAGGUGAGUGGAAUACCCAGUGUAGAGGUGAAAUUCGUAGAUAUUGGGUGGAACACCGGUGGCGAAAGCGGCUCACUGGCUCGGUUCUGACGCUGAGGCGCGAAAGCGUGGGGAGCAAAC